rnacentral:rRNA from 1 species
AGAGAUGUUUAUAAUUAGUAAAUGUUGAAAUUUAAAAUAUUUGGCGGUAAAAUGUAUUUGGAGGAACUUGUUUAUUAAAUUGAAUUUGCCCAUUAAAUUUUACUAUAAUGUGAUUAUUUAUCUCUGUUUAUAGAGUAAUCUUAUAUAUGUAGAUGUUACGACAAGUCAAGAUGUAUUUUUAUUAUAGGUUAAAUGAGUUACAUUGAGGAAAUUAGAGGAUUUAAAAAAGAUUUAAUUAAUGAAAGUGAAUUUAAUAGUAAUUGGAUUAUAGAGUUAAUUGAUGAAGAUAAAUUUUU